UCCUGUGUGAAUGUAAAGUGUGCUGCUCACAACUUUUGCUUUUCUGCAUGAGUUUUCCUGGGAAGAAAGUAUAUUCCUCCGUUCUUCUGAGUCGCCCUUGAAAGCAGGGACCGGGGUCUACUCCUGGUUAAGAAACGUCACUUUAAAGUACAUAUACACAGCACACAACUGCUUAUAAUUUUUUGCUCCUUCACAGUCUUGAAGAAUCAAUCCAUCAGAAUUGGAAAUUAAAGAAACACAAAACCGGUCCUGUGCCAAGUGUGGCUUGGCAAGUUCUCACAAGGAGGAACACUUUCUCUGCAAUGGUAGACACUUAGCCUGGGGUCUCUCCACCACCUCGAAGGACCUACAGACCCCCUUCCCAACAGUGUGCUCUAUGAGAUGCAGCUUGGAACAGAAACAUACAAACACCCAGGUCGGGGUGUGCUGGGCUGAGGUUGGGAUUCUAGUCUAGAUGGGGGUCCUGCCUGGUGGUUUAGAGUGGGUGGUGAAAUGCAGCAAAUCGAGGUGGAAAUGAGUUGUUAAAGACUCGUGUUUUGCAGGCAGAUCAGCGUUGAACAAUGGCCUUGGAGGGCAGGGGAGGGAAGCCGGAAUCUAUAGCCUCUGCAGAUACCCUGGUAGGAAAUACACCUGUUGCGGGUGACCCCAGGGGACCAGCAUGGGGGUCUGCGGGCAGAGAUGCUAAUGAUGGCCCAAGCCAGCUCCAGCACAGCCCUGGGAGCCCCACUACCUACCCUGACGACGGCAGGGCAGCUGCACAUAAGGAAGUAACACUGUCCAUACAGAACAACACGGAUUGGGGAAGAGGUCUCGCCAUGACCUGGGACUAGGACCCUGAGAAAAACUGACAAGGCCAAGGAUGUUUCUCUUAGCCCUUGGCCAACAUCUGAUGAAGGCGCUUCCCCCAGCAAGGCUGAAUGUUAACUCCCGAGAUGCACCAGUCGUGGCUUAUUUGGCCCGUGUGUGUAUGUCUGUCCUUCUAAAUCACACAUGCAUAUUACUUGAUGAUUUUUUAGUUACCUAUUUAAAUAAUUGAAGUUCAACAAAGGAUAAUCAUGCUUUGCAGAGUUCGGAAGUUCCCAAGACACUCUUGGAUUUGAUAAUGCACCAGAAGGACUCACAGGAUCACAGAAAGCUGUUCUACUCACAGUUGUUGUUUGUUACAGCAGAGAGAUAGGGACAAAAGUCAGCCAAGGGAAGAGGAGCUGGUGGGGAAGCAGUGACCAGGACACACCCAGGCACAGAGCCUUCAGUUGUCCUGUGCCGGGCAACGGCGGGCAGCGCUGGCUUCUCCUGGUAAUUAUGUGUGGCGAUACACUUGGAGUUUCAUCAACCAGGGAAGCUUCCAGAGCCUUGGUGUUUGGAGUUUUUAUUAGGAUUCUGUCAUAAUUGACUACCCGCCUGCCUGACCUUUAGCCUCCAGACCCUCUUGACCUUGAGCUGAUAGCAUGUGUCCCACAGACCCUUCCAGAAAUUCCAUUAUAGACGAUCAGUCUACAGGUAAACAGACACUCUCAUCAAGCAGGAUGUUCCAGAGGCUUAGAGAUGACCGUCCAGGGGGCAGGGGCAAAGGCUGGUGCUCUCCAGGUUUGGUUAGUUGUUGACUACAUACCCUUGAACAUAUUACUAUAAAAAUACUUUUGAACUUAAGAGACACAGGUCCCCAGCUGGUGUUCCGCGGACAGACCAGGGAAGCCACACCCUUUACACGAUGCUGUUCAGUGACUCUUACUUAUCCUUGCGUUUGCAGAAAGAAUGUGCAAUGUAUUUCCUUAAGUUAGCACACAUAGGAGACAAAUCAGUCACAGUGCCUGACGUAGCCACAGCCCCUCAAGAAAACGGCCGCCAUUCCUGGGGUGGCCAGUGUUUGUCAGAGACAGUAUGAGUCCUAGGACCAGAUCCUUUGGCCCAGCCUGACUUAGAAAUGGGCCCCGCAGACAAUGACGGCCCGUUCACCAGCUGGUCUCGGGGCUGCGGCAUGAUUCAAUGCCAAAGUCUCCGUUCAGAUGUGAUUUACUGACAUUAUCAGCAGAGCCUACCGGAAGCCCUCGCCUAAAGUUAUACUGGACAUCGAAGAACAGUUAGGCCAGUAGGAAAUGAGAGGAGUGUGUAGAACACAGAGUAGUUGAAUCACAUUGAUGGGGAGUGAGGUCCCAGGGUCCCCCCUUGUGGGAUCCUGGAUGAUAAUGCAGUUGGUUCCCUCUUACGAUUUUUAACAGUUCCUCUGAAAGGGGCGCCUGGGUGACUCGGUCGGUUCAGUUAAGUGUCUGCCUUCGGCUCAGGUCA